GCCAAUGAUGUGAAAACCCUAUUCCAUUUCUGAAUUCUCAGUGUGGAAAAUUCCUGACUGAUGAC
rnacentral:snoRNA from 12 species